rnacentral:rRNA from 1 species
AGAGUUUGAUCCUGGCUCAGGAUGAACGCUGGCGGCGUGCUUAACACAUGCAAGUCGAACGAACCUUCGGGUUAGUGGCGGACGGGUGAGUAACGCGUGAGAAUCUGCCCUCAGGAGGGGGAUAACAGCUGGAAACGGCUGCUAAUACCCCAUAUGCCGCGAGGUGAAAUGAAUUUCGCCUGAGGAUGAGCUCGCGUCUGAUUAGCUAGUUGGUGUAGGUAAUGGCUCACCAAGGCAUCGAUCAGUAGCUGGUCUGAGAGGAUGAUCAGCCACACUGGGACUGAGACACGGCCCAGACUCCUACGGGAGGCAGCAGUGGGGAAUUUUCCGCAAUGGGCGAAAGCCUGACGGAGCAACGCCGCGUGAGGGAUGAAGGCCUCUGGGCUGUAAACCUCUUUUAUCAAGGAAGAAGAUCUGACGGUACUUGAUGAAUAAGCCACGGCUAAUUCCGUGCCAGCAGCCGCGGUAAUACGGGAGUGGCAAGCGUUAUCCGGAAUUAUUGGGCGUAAAGCGUCCGCAGGCGGCCCUUCAAGUCUGCUGUUAAAAAGUGGAGCUUAACUCCAUCAUGGCAGUGGAAACUGAGGGGCUUGAGUGUGGUAGGGGCAGAGGGAAUUCCCGGUGUAGCGGUGAAAUGCGUAGAUAUCGGGAAGAACACCAGUGGCGAAGGCGCUCUGCUGGGCCAUCACUGACGCUCAUGGACGAAAGCCAGGGGAGCGAAAGGGAUUAGAUACCCCUGUAGUCCUGGCCGUAAACGAUGAACACUAGGUGUCGGGGGAAUCGACCCCCUCGGUGUCGUAGCCAACGCGUUAAGUGUUCCGCCUGGGGAGUACGCACGCAAGUGUGAAACUCAAAGGAAUUGACGGGGGCCCGCACAAGCGGUGGAGUAUGUGGUUUAAUUCGAUGCAACGCGAAGAACCUUACCAGGGUUUGACAUCCUGCGAAUCUCUUGGAAACGAGAGAGUGCCUUCGGGAACGCAGUGACAGGUGGUGCAUGGCUGUCGUCAGCUCGUGUCGUGAGAUGUUGGGUUAAGUCCCGCAACGAGCGCAACCCACGUCUUUAGUUGCCAGCAUUUAGUUGGGCACUCUAGAGAGACCGCCGGUGAUAAACCGGAGGAAGGUGUGGAUGACGUCAAGUCAUCAUGCCCCUUACAUCCUGGGCUACACACGUACUACAAUGCUACGGACAAAGGGCAGCAAGUUCGCGAGGACAAGCAAAUCCCAUAAACCGUGGCUCAGUUCAGAUCGUAGGCUGCAACUCGCCUACGUGAAGGAGGAAUCGCUAGUAAUCGCAGGUCAGCAUACUGCGGUGAAUACGUUCCCGGGCCUUGUACACACCGCCCGUCACACCAUGGAAGUUGGCCACGCCCGAAGCCGUUACUCCAACCCUUGUGGAGGAGGACGUCGAAGGUGGGGCUGAUGACUGGGGUGAAGUCGUAACAAGGUAUCCGUACCGGAAGGUGCGGAUGGAUCACCUCCUAA